GUUCGCGGCGAGGGGCGGAGCUUGGCGCGCCAGUGCCUCGGUUUCCAGGCACCGGGAAUAACAGAAGCCAGCUGAGAGCGCCUGCGCGGCUGUCGGUUGAUGGGGAGGUCAGGUCUGGGAAACUAGGCCCUGGGGUUUUCCCUGAGCAGGAGCGGUGCCCGAGGGCCUCAGGCGUCAGUCCAGGCCCUGAAUGGCUGGUCUCCAGCGGUUGGCGUCACGUCUGCCUGUGGGCGUUAUGCUCCCACAUAAUACAACGGAAGCUCCAGGGCCCCACUCAGCCAAGCAAGACUCUUACGAACAAGGUGACUCUUCCCAGCAGUCCUUGAAGGGGCACCUGAGGAACAAUUUCCAGAAGCAGCUUUUGAGCAACAAAGAGUUGACUCUGGAUAAAGUCUAUACUCACCCCAAAUGGAACACCCAAACAAAAGCCCGGAGCUACUCCUAUCCCCACUGUACUGGAAUCAGCCAGCAAGAUCCAGAAAGUGAUUCCCAGGGCCAAGGAAAUGGUUUGUUUUACUCGUCAGGCCCUCAAUCCUGGUAUCCCAAAGCCAAUAACCAGGACUUUAUCCCCUUUACGAAGAAACGAGUUGGAGUGGACCGGGCGUACCCAUUGAAACCCAUGGUCUACAGGAAGUCGUGCAGUACAGGUGAGGCUGGCACUGAUGGGGACCAUAAUGUCUACCCAAGGCCCCCUGAGCCGAGAGAGUUUUCAUCUAGGAACUUUGCUGUGAGGAACCAGGGCAACUUUUCUGUGGUUGGUACUGUUCUUGCUGCCACGCAGGCGGAGAAGGCCGUGGCAAACUUUGACAGAACGGAGUGGGUGCAGAUCCGAAGACUAGAAGCUGCAGGGGAGAGCUUAGAGGAGGAAAUCCGAAGAAAGCAGAUUCUCCUGAGGGGAAAGCUGAAGAAGACAGAGGAGGAACUCAGAAGGAUCCAGACGCAAAAGGAACAGGCCAAGGAAAAUGAAAACGGAGAGCUACAGAAAAUUAUACUCCCCAGGAGCAGAGUUAAAGGUAAUAAAAGCAACACCAUGUACAAACCUAUCUUCUCCCCAGAAUUUGAGUUUGAGGAAGAAUUUAGUAGAGACAGGAGAGAGGAUGAAACUUGGGGACGGUCUCAACAAAAUUCAAGUCCAUUCCAGUUCUCUGAUUAUAGAAUCCAGAGGCUCAAAAGGGAAAGGCUGGUAGCAAGCAAUAAUAAAAUUCGAGACCCAGUCUCAGAGCCAUCGGUGGAGAAAUUCUCCCCGCCUUCAGAAACACCAGUCGGUGCUUUGCAGGGAUCCGCCAGAAAUUCCAGCCUGUCCAUGGCACCAGACUCCUCAGGUUCCAGCGGCUCCAUUGAAGAGCCACAGCUGGGUGAGUGCAGCCACUGUGGGCGCAGAUUCCUCUCGUUCAGGCUGGAGAGACACUCCAACAUCUGCAGCAGGACGCGGGGUUCCAAGAGGAAAGUGUUUGACUCCUCCAGGGCCCGGGCUAAGGGCACAGAACUAGAGCAGUACUUGAACUGGAAGGGGCCAGCUUCAGCCAAGUGCUGUGCCUUUGGAAGCUGAGUGGUUGUACCUUCCUGUCAUUCCUCUAGAGUACUCAAGAACAGGUGAUUUUCCUGGUAUCCUUUAAUCUUCACGUAACUCCCAGCAGAUGUACACCCUGUCUCUCUCCUGGACUGUAAGCAUUUUUGAGGACAGGGAACAUAUUUUGUGUUUUGUGCUUAAUAAGUGUUAACUGAAUAGAAUUUCAGUACAAUGAGGAAUAAAAUUAUAGGAAUUAGAGUAUAAGAAGUAAAUUACUAAAGGAUCUCAUAUACUUGAGGAACUUUCCCCUGAUCAAAUUCUUUUUUUGAGAGGAACUUUCCCCUGAUCAAAUUCUUUUUUUGAGACCGAGUCUUGCCCUGUUGCCCAGGCUGGAGUGCAGUGACGCGAUCUCGGCUCACUGCAGCAAUCUCGGCUCACUGCAGCCUCCACCUACCGGGUUCAAGCAAUUCUCUGCCUCAGUCUCCUGAGUAGCUGGGAUUACAGGUGCCCGCCACCACACCCAGCUAAUUUUUGUAUGUUUAGUAGAGACGGGGGUUUCACCAUCUUGCCCAGGCUGGUCUUGAACUCCUGACCUUGUGAUCCACACGCCUCAGCCUCCCAAAAUGUUGGGAUUACAUGCAUGAGCCACCGUGCCUGGCCUUCGAAUUCUUUUAAAGGUUCCUGGAUACCAUCGCUAAUACUCUCUUGCCUUCUUGUCUGUUUUGGCAAGAGACUUUCUGGAAGGAUCCUUUCUUUUCCUUUGAUAGUAUCUCUUCCUAUUAUUCAUCAUUAACAAUGCCAGAUCACCAAGAGCUAGUUGUCUUUUUUCCCUUUAAAAAAUUUAAUAGUGUUUGCAUGCAUUUAAAAAACAUGUAGUACUGAGUGACCUAUAACGGAACCCCUAAUUCAGCCCCCGGAGGCAGCCUUCAGUUCUGUUAGAUGGUUCUUCUGGUCUGCCUUUCCAUAUUUCUAAAUAAUAUGCUUAUUUUCUUGAUUUAUCAAUUUUCUACAUUAUCUGUUUUUUUGUUUUGUUUUGUUUUUGAGACGGAGUCUCUGUCGCCCAGGCUGGAGUGCAGUGGCUUGAUCUUGGCUUACUUCAACCUCCACCUCCUGUGUUCAAGCAAUUAUUGUGCCUCAGCCUCCUGAGUAGCUGGGAUUACAGGCUGAACCUCCUCAGAAGAGCAACUGGAGAUAGAAGCAUGAAUCUUUUAUCCAUACGUUCCGCCAGGCUCGAGAGGUCCAGCAGGUAACUGCCAAAGGUGGAAACUGUUCACACUUGCCUCCCAUCCUGCCUGCAGAAAACCCAGACUACAUUCAGUGUCCUCAAUGUAGCCACCACUUUGCUCCCAAGGUGGCUGAGCAACACAUUCCCAAGUGUAAGACCAUCAAGAACUGUCUUCCACCUCUAAGGAAGCAUCAUAGUUGAGCAGACAACAAUGGAAACUUUUGGAUAGUUCAGAAAGCUCUGCUUCUCUUCAGCAGUAAAUGGGAGUAGAAUUUGAUGCAAAGCAGAAAGAAAUCAAACAGCUUCCAGAUCUGCCUGCAGAGCUAAAAUCUGUGAGGAGAGAGCCACUGCUAAGCAGCAGGAGGCAGAAGGAAGCCCCAGCUUCCCACUAAAUUACAACCUUGGGCUGGUAUGCUUUAUGUUAUUGCCCUCAGAAUUGAUGGGUGAAGACACUGAAGAGUCGUGAGCAGGCUCCAUUAAAGCUCUCUUCUUGCA